rnacentral:rRNA from 1 species
UAAGGAAUAUUGGACAAUGGAGGCAACUCUGAUCCAGCCAUGCCGCGUGAAGGAAUAAGGCCCUAUGGGUUGUAAACUUCUUUUAGACGGGACAAAACCCCUUUACGUGUAAAGGGUUGAUGGUACUGUCAGACUAAGCAUCGGCUAACUUCGUGCCAGCAGCCGCGGUAAUACGAAGGAUGCAAGCGUUAUCCGGAAUUAUUGGGUUUAAAGGGUGCGUAGGCGGACUAAUAAGUCAGUGGUGAAAGCCUGCAGCUUAACUGCAGAAUUGCCAUUGAUACUGUUAGUCUUGAGUACAGUUGAGGUAGGCGGAAUGUGUCAUGUAGCGGUGAAAUGCUUAGAUAUGACACAGAACACCGAUUGCGAAGGCAGCUUGCUAAGCUGUAACUGACGCUGAGGCACGAAAGCGUGGGGAGCAAACA